rnacentral:tRNA from 2 species
GGCCGGUUGGCCCAAUGGUAAGGCGUCUGACUACGAAUAUCCUCUCAGAGGAUUGAGUUAAUCAGGAGAUUCUGGGUUCGAGCCCCAGGCUGGUCA